AUUGAACGCUGGCGGAAUGCUUUACACAUGCAAGUCGAACGGUAGAGGGGGCAACCCCUCGAGAGUGGCGAACGGGUGAGUAAUAUAUCGGAACGUGCCCAGUCGUGGGGGAUAACGUAGCGAAAGUUACGCUAAUACCGCAUACGAUCGAAGGAUGAAAGCGGGGGAUCGCAAGACCUCGCGGGAUUGGAGCGGCCGAUAUCAGAUUAGGUAGUUGGUGGGGUAAAGGCUCACCAAGCCAACGAUCUGUAGCUGGUCUGAGAGGACGACCAGCCACACUGGAACUGAGACACGGUCCAGACUCCUACGGGAGGCAGCAGUGGGGAAUUUUGGACAAUGGACGCAAGUCUGAUCCAGCCAUUCCGCGUGCAGGAUGAAGGCCCUCGGGUUAUAAACUGCUUUUGUACGGAACGAAAAGGUCUCUCUUAAUACGGGGGGCUCAUGACGGUACCGUAGGAAUAAGCACCGGCUAACUACGUGCCAGCCGCCGCGGUAA
rnacentral:rRNA from 1 species